GUUCAGGUUGACUUCCGUGGCCUCUGCCACUGACCUGAGAGUGCAGGCGGAAACACCUUGAACAGAUACUGAAAUGCACACACUACUCUAGUGGACGACAGUGGAAUUACACCCAAAAUAAACACAGGUGAAGCAAGUGGGGCACUCCAGGGGUUACCUUGCUUCCCCUGCCCAAAGUCACCUGGGAUCGGCGCCAGCUAAUCCGCGACGCUAAUGAAUAUAAGCACGAUAGAAAAUGGAUGGAUGGAUGGAAAGUAAAGCACACCUGCAGCAAAUAUGUCCACUCAAUGCUCAAACUUGGCGAAUAAAAAAGAUUGAGAUUUAACAUCAAUAAUGCAGUUUUUUCCCCUCUUCGAAUUAAGACUAUCAAAGAACUUUUCCAGACCUGGACAAGGAUGAUUUUUCUUCAAAUGUGCUAUAAUUUGCUCUCCAAUUCCAAAAUAGAUGAGACCAAAGAAGAAGACAGCAACUCUAAUCCAUGUCACAAUCGUCACAGCCAGACUGAAAUCAAGCCAUGAACGUAUCAAAUUAGAAAUGAUCUUUUUCUCUCCUUCAAUAUGGAGCGUAUCAAAUGAGAAAGUACAUACACCUGGGAGAUGAACGGAUUAUCUUGACAAAGAAAAAGUAAGAAUCCGGACUUUGAAAAGUGUCCUUAGGUGAGAAAUCGAAGUGUGGAUUCAGUUUGUCCAUAAGCGCCCGUUGUGAUUGGCUGGCAGCCUCUCGCCUGAAGUCAGCUGGGCUAUCCUCCAGCAAAACGAAGAUAAAGAAUAAAUAAAAUCAUCAGCUCACUCA